rnacentral:tRNA from 1 species
CGCGGGCGAGGCCUUCGACGGGAUGGUCGGGGCUCAGCUCCUCGGCGCGGCAGCCCGCGAUGACGAGCAGGUGUUCGAUGUCCCGGUCCGUCA